GAUGAACGCUGGCGGCGUGCCUAAUACAUGCAAGUCGAGCGAACGGACGAGAAGCUUGCUUCUCUGAUGUUAGCGGCGGACGGGUGAGUAACACGUGGAUAACCUACCUAUAAGACUGGGAUAACUUCGGGAAACCGGAGCUAAUACCGGAUGAUAUUUUGAACCGCAUGGUUCAAAAGUGAAAGACGGUCUUGCUGUCACUUAUAGAUGGAUCCGCGCUGCAUUAGCUAGUUGGUAAGGUAACGGCUUACCAAGGCAACGAUGCAUAGCCGACCUGAGAGGGUGAUCGGCCACAAUGGAACUGAGACAAGGUCCAGACUCCUACGGGAGGCAGCAGUAGGGAAUCUUCCGCAAAGGGCGAAAGCCUGACGGAGCAACGCCGCGUGAGUGAUGAAGGUCUUCGGAUCGUAAAACUCUGUUAUUAGGGAAGAACAUAUGUGUAAGUAACUGUGCACAUCUUGACGGUACCUAAUCAGAAAGCCACGGCUAACUACGUG
rnacentral:rRNA from 1 species